GCCGAGUUGGUUAACGUCAGCUUGUGACUCUUGUGAGGGCAAUACGGUGGUGGGAUAAUACUGAGGCUUAAUUGGGUUGGGCUUUGAUCACAAAAUGCUGGGCCUGCGCACUCCGAGUUGAGAGUUGGCCCGUAAGUUUCGUGUGCCCUAAAGUGGAGGGCACUGCGUCAGGCUGGUUUCACAGAACAGCGAGAACCUUUCUCUCUUAACAGUGGAGGGAUGUCAGGCUGCUGGAGUCACUGCCCUCUAUUUGCCUAAUUAACCUGGUUCUUAGACCAUCACCUUU
rfam:Vigna angularis cultivar Jingnong 6 scaffold2_44, whole genome shotgun sequence.